rnacentral:rRNA from 1 species
UACAGAGGUUUCGAGCGUUGUUCGGAUUCAUUGGGCGUAAAGGGCGUGUAGGUGGGGCCGUAAGUCGGGUGUGAAAUUCCGGAGCUUAACUCCGAAACUGCAUUCGAUACUGCGGUGCUUGAGGACUGGAGAGGAGACUGGAAUUCAUGGUGUAGCAGUGAAAUGCGUAGAGAUCAUGAGGAAGACCAGUGGCGAAGGCGGGUCUCUGGACAGUUCCUGACACUGAGACACGAAGGCCAGGGGAGCAAACGGG